UUUAAUAGGUUAUCUAUUGCUUGGAUGGAGCGAGAAUUGGCAUACACUAUGAGACAUUCUUUGCUGGUGAGCCUUGUGAAAUAUUUUAUUGUGUUUUGGAAAGCAAGUCAUUCCUGGAAAAGAUGACUGUGAUUGAGCACACGUUACCUUUCUUUCUGCCCAUACGCGAAUUGGAAAGUGAUCUCCUAUCAUCUAAUGCCAUUAAAUUUAUUAAUCACCUUGAAGAAAUUUUACAGGCUUAUAUUGACAGGAGAGAACAGGUCAGUAUCAGCUAUUAGGAGUCAGU